rnacentral:siRNA from 1 species
GGCCAACUCUCUCCAUAUGGGUGA